CCUACGGGAGGUAGCAGUGAGGAAUAUUGGUCAAUUGACGAGAGUCUGAACCAGCCAAGUAGCGUGAAGGAUGACUGCCCUAUGGGUUGUAAACUUAUUUUAUAUGGGAAUAACAUGUUCCACGUGUGGGAUUUUGUAUGUACCCUAUGAAUAAGGAUCGGCUAACUCCGUGCCAGCAGCCGCGGUAAUACGGAGGAUCCGAGCGUUAUCCGGAUUUAUUGGGUUUAAAGGGAGCGUAGGUGGAUUGUUAAGUCAGUUGUGAAAGUUUGCGGCUCAACCGUAAAAUUGCAGUUGAAACUGGCAGUCGUGAGUACAGUAGAGGUGGGCGGAAUUCGGGGUGUAGCGGUGAAAUGCUUAGAUAUCACGAAGAACUCCGAUUGCGAAGGCAGUUCACUGGACUGCAACUGACACUGAGGCUCGAAAGUGUGGGUAUCAAACAGGAUUAGAUACCCGGGUAGUC
rnacentral:rRNA from 1 species